rnacentral:rRNA from 1 species
GGGCUUGACAUCCCACGAACCUGCCUGAAAGGGCGGGGUGCCCGCAAGGGAGCGUGGAGACAGGUGGUGCAUGGCUGUCGUCAGCUCGUGUCGUGAGAUGUUGGGUUAAGUCCCGCAACGAGCGCAACCCUCACCCCUGGUUGCCACCGGGUAAAGCCGAGCACUCGAGGGGAACUGCCAGCGUCAAGCUGGAGGAAGGCGGGGAUGACGUCAAGUCAUCAUGCCCCUUACGUCCUGGGCUACACACGUGCUACAAUGGCCGGUACAAAGGGACGCGAGACCGCGAGGUGGAGCCAAUCCCAAAAAACUGGUCUAAGUUCAGAUUGCAGUCUGCAACUCGACUGCAUGAAGGAGGAAUCGCUAGUAAUCGCGCAUCAGCACGGCGCGGUGAAUACGUUCCCGGGCCUUGUACACACCGCCCGUCACACCACGAAAGCUGUCUGUACUCGAAGUCGCUGAG